GGCUGAGAGCUUAAUGCAGUGGUUUGAGCAUUAGACUACAGCUCUGAAGACCAGGGUUCAAAUCCCAGCUGAGCCG